rnacentral:rRNA from 1 species
GAUGAACGCUAGCGGCAGGCUUAACACAUGCAAGUCGAGGGGUAUUGGUUUUCGGACCAAGAGACCGGCGCACGGGUGCGUAACGCGUAUGCAAUCUACCUUUUGCAGAGGGAUAGCCCAGAGAAAUUUGGAUUAAUACCUCAUAGUAUAGUACUUUGGCAUCAAGGAACUAUUAAAGUCACAACGGCAAAGAUGAGCAUGCGUCCCAUUAGCUAGUUGGUAAGGUAACGGCUUACCAAGGCUACGAUGGGUAGGGGUCCUGAGAGGGAGAUCCCCCACACUGGUACUGAGACACGGACCAGACUCCUACGGGAGGCAGCAGUGAGGAAUAUUGGACAAUGGGCGCAAGCCUGAUCCAGCCAUGCCGCGUGCAGGAUGACGGCCUAUGGAUUGUAAACUGCUUUUGUACGAGAAGAAACAUCCCGACGUGUCGGGACUUGACGGUAUCGUAAGAAUAAGGAUGGCUAACUCCGUGCCAG